rnacentral:rRNA from 1 species
UCUGUGACUCCUACGGGAGGCAGCAGUGGGGGAAUAUUGCACAAUGGGCGCAAGCCUGAUGCAGCAACGCCGUGUGAGUGAAGAAGGUUUUCGGAUCGUAAAACUCUGUCCUAAGGGAAGAACAAAUGACGGUACCUUAGGAGGAAGCCCCGGCUAACUACGUGCCAGCAGCCGCGGUAAUACGUAGGGGGCAAGCGUUAUCCGGAAUCACUGGGCGUAAAGGGUGCGUAGGCGGCUUAGCAAGCCAGGGGUGAAAGGCAUUGGCUCAACCAAUGUAAGCCUUUGGAACUGUUAAGCUUGAGUGCAGGAGAGGUAAGUGGAAUUCCUAGUGUAGAGGUGAAAUUCGUAGAUAUUAGGAGGAACACCAGUGGCGAAGGCGACUUACUGGACUGUAACUGACGCUGAUGCACGAAAGCGUGGGUAGCGAACAGGAUUAGAUACCCUGGUAG